rnacentral:hammerhead_ribozyme from 1 species
AUCCAGCUGACGAGUCCCAAAUUGGACGAAACGCAGUCCUGGAU